rnacentral:rRNA from 1 species
CAGUCGCCGCGGUAAUACGUAGGUGGCAAGCGUUGUCCGGAAUUAUUGGGCGUAAAGGGCUCGCAGGCGGUUUCUUAAGUCUGAUGUGAAAGCCCCCAGCCCAACCGGGGAGGGUCAUUGGAAACUGGGAAACUUGAGUGCAGAAGAGGAGGGUGGAAUUCCACGUGUAACGGUGAAAUGCGUAGAGAUGUGGAGGAACACCAGUGGCGAAGGCGACUCUCUGGUCUGUAACUGACGCUGAGGGGCGAAAGCGUGGGGAGCGAACAGGAUUAGAUACCCGCGUAGUCCCUGUCUCUUAUAC